UCCCCUCUCUGACAUCUCUCCUCUCCCUCUUCCUCUCUCCUCCUUUUGUUAAGAAUUCAGAAGAUAAUUAUGCCUCACCUUGACUCCAGACCAGCUGCACAGAAUCAAGGACAGAAGCACUGCAAUAAUUCUGGGAAUAAUGCCACAAGUUUUGCACACUCUUCCACAACAUUCACAAUCAAAUUCAGCUACCAAGGACUGUAAUACACUCAUCUCAAAUCUAUUUAAUAAAUAUUUCUCUGCCCUUUUCAAUUGAUUAUAUUGUGUUUAUAUUUUCAUGUUGAAUCUUUUAUUAUCCAAUUCAUUUUCGGUUAGGUACUUUAUAAUACCUUGCUCUGCUUUUUUUUAUAAAACAGUUCUGUUUCCAUAGCCACAAUCAUAUUUUAUAUUGUUAUGAGCCAUUUCAAAGCCUUAAUUCUUCAAACCUUUAUUACUGAUUGUAUCAACUAAUGUGUUCUAAUAUCCAUGGUAAAAAUAUUCAUGUGAUUUUAAGAUUUAAAUGACAAUUUUAGUUUUUAUUUCACAGCAAAUCAAGACCCCCCCUUUGUCAUUAUCACUUGCCUUUGUACACAUUGGAAAAAAUAAAAUAAUGCUUCAUAUUUGGAA